UACGGGGGGGGCAAGCGUUGUUCGGAAUUACUGGGCGUAAAGGGCUCGUAGGCGGCCAACUAAGUCAGACGUGAAAUCCCUCGGCUUAACCGGGGAACUGCGUCUGAUACUGGAUGGCUUGAGUUCGGGAGAGGGAUGCGGAAUUCCAGGUGUAGCGGUGAAAUGCGUAGAUAUCUGGAGGAACACCGGUGGCGAAGGCGGCAUCCUGGACCGACGCUGACGCUGAGGAGCGAAAGCCAGGGGAGCAAACCGG
rnacentral:rRNA from 1 species